AUGUUUUAGGUAGGCGAUGGGCCACCAGAACCAGCAGCCCCCCCUUACUUCUUUCAAACACACAGCGCGGCUCUGUAUUUUCCUCCGGGGCUCCCCGCGCCAGGUGAAUUUCUCCAUAGCGGCACCAGAGGGCGCCCGAACUGAGGGAAAGGCCUCGGGACGCCAAGAGGACCCAAGCAGGUGCUACCACGCCGGCGACCCAGACCUCCCUGGCUCCGCGAUUAUCCGAUUCAAGAAGGGCUGUGUUUCUCUCCAAUUGUAUGCUUAAAUCUGGAAUCAAGAUGGGAGCACAUUGUCCCACCGGCUGUUUCCUAAGUAACAAGUCAGUGUUCUGUGUUUCAUAGACGGCAGACCUCUGAUUUCACACACUGAAGCGUGGAAAAGCCCCAUGUACUGGAGCCAGAGAACCUUGAAGGAAAAACAGAACUGCGUUCCUCAGCUCUAUCCUUUCUGCUCAUUUCCUGUCACCCAAGAUGUGAUUUUUCAGUGGUGGUCUCCAUUUUAAUUCACAUAUGGCUGCUAGAUCAAGGGACUGACAUUAUCUAGAAAUCUGUGAAGUAAAAAACAUCCAAGACCCAUUCCCUGGGGGCAGAAAAAGGAGGGUAGAAAAAAAGGGAGAAGAUCAGUCCCAGCCCAGCAAUAGAAGUACGCACAAAACAGAAGAGAACACGAAGGGACUUCGGUUUCCUUUUUAUCUCAAUACACACGGGCUAGUGAAAUGACAUCUACCUGGAGGGAGCUUUAAGACAAGAAUGUUUCUUAACCUCACCCUGGAGACAUUACACUGACCUCCUUACAAACAGAAACACACUGGAAUCAGGUCUACUAUCUAGAAGACUAUUUUUCAGAUGCAAUAAUUUAUCCAUCCUUUCAGCCAUUUUGAAAAGCCAUCUCUCGUUGCCAAACGAAGUGCUUCUAAAGUGUGCCUUUUCAGAAGAUCCCAAACCCUAUGUCCUCUCCAGGGAGAACAUUUCAAGCUUAUCAUUUCUCCAAGACAAACCUCAAAGGCAGAACUCCUCUCUCCAUGAGGCAGGUGUGAUUUAGCAGAACGUAGAAGAAAAGAGGGCAUUGUUUUCUUCUUUACCUGCAAUGCUAAAGGUGGAAA